UACAGAGGUCCCAAGCGGUUGUUCGGAUUCACUGGGCGUAAAGGGUGCGUAGGUGGCCGGGUAAGUCUGACGUGAAAUCUCCGAGCCUAACUCGGAAACUGCAUCGGAUGCUAUCCGGCUUGAGGGUUGGAGGGGGGACUGGAAUACUUGGUGUAGCAGUGAAAUGCGUAGAUAUCAAGUGGAACACCAGUGGCGAAGGCGAGUCCCUGGACAACUCCUGACACUGAGGCACGAAAGCUAGGGGAGCAAACAGG
rnacentral:rRNA from 1 species